rnacentral:rRNA from 1 species
GAUGAACGCUGGCGGCGUGCCUAAUACAUGCGAGUCGAGCGAACAGACGAGGAGCUUGCUCCUCUGACGUUAGCGGCGGACGGGUGAGUAACACGUGGAUAACCUACCUAUAAGACUGGGAUAACUUCGGGAAACCGGAGCUAAUACCGGAUAAUAUAUUGAACCGCAUGGUUCAAUAGUGAAAGACGGUUUUGCUGUCACUUAUAGAUGGAUCCGCGCCGCAUUAGCUAGUUGGUAAGGUAACGGCUUACCAAGGCGACGAUGCGUAGCCGACCUGAGAGGGUGAUCGGCCACACUUGAACUGAGACACUGUCCAGACUCCUACGGGAGGCAGCAGUAGGGAAUCUUCCGCAAUGGGCGAAAGCCUGACGGAGCAACGCCGCGUGAGUGAUGAAGGUCUUCGGAUCGUAAAACUCUGUUAUUAGGGAAGAACAAAUGUGUAAGUAACUAUGCACGUCUUGACGGUACCUAAUCAGAAAGCCACGGCUAACUACGUG